AACUACGUUAAGGGUACACGUGUCUGUGGAAUGCUCAGCCAUUUGCACGUUAAUUUCACGAGCAAGCUGUUCCGUUGAUCGUAUCAGCUGGGACCCUCGUCGUUGUAACCGGCGGAGUCUUUAAUAUAUGUUCUUACAAUGAUAGAAAUAACCUAGCUUCAUUAAUCGAGAAAGUAUAUCUAAGUGUGUCUAUGCAGAUAGACAUUGAAUUUCAAUAUCAUCUUGUUAGUUUUAAACUUAGCCAAGUGUUUUUCAUAUUGCUACAUUUUAUCAUUGAUCUUUCUUCAUGAACAAACUCAUAAAACUAUUCCUGAUCAGUCCGAUACUUUCACGACAUUAUGAAAGGUAUUUUAUGCAAUAUCUUUUGUGCCAAGUAGAAUUGUCUUAAAUUUUAUUUCUGCUGGGGAAAAACAGGAUCAAAUGGCUUUUAGUCAUUAUUAAUUUUCAAUUUUAAACAACAUUAAGGUUUUAUUUUUAUUUAUUUAUUUUUUUUUUUUUUUGGACAAAUUUAACAAAAGUUUUGACCAUGCAAAAUUUUUUUUGAUAGCUCCAUUGCCUGAUAUCUGAGAGAAAAUUAGCCAUGAUUUGUAACAGGCUAAAUGCUUGUAAGAUGUUCAGAGAUAUGUGCUCUCUCUCUCUCUCUCACACACACACAGAUGAUUUGCCAUUUCAUAAAGUGGUUGCCUAUUCAAUAAAGGAUCCUCUACAUGGUCACUUGAUCUGCAAGAAAUAGCAGCCAAAUCAUACCACAUUGUCUUAGAUAAAAGAAAAGAGACAUUGGAUAAUGUAGUUCAAGACAAAAGGUGUUAUGGCCAUGGCUGGAACACCUUUGACUGCAGGUCUGCUUGAUUAGAGCUAACUUGUGACUAAAUAACAGUUUAAAAAACAACAAAACACCACUAUUUUACUCUGACUUAAUUCUUCAUGUCUGAUGAUUGCUGUGGUUGUCAAGUAAUUUUUAGAAGGCAGAUUUUAAAAAAAUACAAAAAAUUACAUAAACAGAAGACUUUAAUUCAGUUUACCCAGACUGUUGAAAUAUUUUUUUCAUUGGGUUCUAGACUGAAUUCCAUCCCACCCCUACUCCCCAUUUUUUAAAAAUAAUUUUGUUCUGUUUUGUUACAUUUCUGAAUCAAAAUCUGUCUUUAACCUGUUCUAAAAAUAUGGAAGGCUAAGGGACUUGGUGUCUGUUUGUUAUGGUAUCCAUAAAAAAAAGAAAAGAAAAAAAAAAGAAUAUGUAACAAAUAGAAAUAAAAUUCAAAUAAUGUGUGGCCUAAUUCAUUAAGGCAUGAACUUUUUUCUGUUUGUUGUGAUGUGUAGUAGAUUAGCUGAUUUCCUAUUUCCCCCCACUCCCCCCUAUAAAAGAAAGAAAUUGGGCCUCAGUGAAGAUCAGACCAGUGUAUAACAUUACUCCUCAUUCUCCCCCAUUCAAGCAGCUUUAUGUUUCCUGGUUGAAAUUAACUGAAAUUUAACCCUUUCACACUGGUGUGAAAGGAUAGUAUGUUAUGUACUGUGUGCAUUUUUUUUUAAUACUCUCUGAUGAUUUUCAUAAUUAUAAUCUUGAUAGUAAAUCUCCUUGAAUGUGCUAAGGAUAUUAGUGUAGUCUUCUAGUUCGGUUAAGGCAAUGAUUUCUGAACAUCCUUUCUCAACUCAUGUUGUUGAGUUUAAUACUGCCGUUUGUUUGAUGGGAUUGUGGAGUGACUGACUGUCUAGGUUACUCUAGGGUUGUCUAACAGAAUUAUCAGUUCAGCUGUGGCUGAUGUAAUAACAACAACCCACUCCAUACAACUCAAUCUGGUUAAUUCUUUUAUAAAAGUCAGUGGUCUUUUGAUUGGUUGAGUUCAGACCAAUUUACCUCAUGUUUUGUUGAUCCUAUAAUAAUGUUCCUUUAGGGACGAAUUCACCACCAUAACUAAAAAAGAAUCAAACAAAACAAAACAACCCCAUGCAUCAUGAUGCAAUCUGUGUAAAUAUUCCAACUAAGUCUGCUCUGCUUAACCCACCAUGACAAGAUAAUCCAGUAUAAUUCUUUUUUAAAGUUUAAAAAGAUUUAAGGAUUUUCACAGAUGAUUUGCUGUAACUAUAGAUUUAGUUAUUGGUUUGACAACUGAGACCCAGUUUGUAAUGUAGAUGGCUAAUGGGGCCUGCACACAUGGCAUGGCUAGUUGUGCCGCCUUUGCUGCAUAGUUGACCUUGCUGAGCUCCAGCCGUCAUCUAGAUGUAUUGGCUUCCAUCGAAGCCUCAGAUAUUUCUUAGUUUUAUUUUUUGUUUUUUUUUUGUAUAUUUUUCUUUAUAAUAUUCUUGACAAUUUUUUCAUAGGAAGGAAGAAAAAAGAAAAGAAAAGCAAAAGCUUUCACUUGAAGUUUUAGUAGAUUAAUAAUCACUGUUAAAAAUGUCAAAUCACCUUUCCUUUUUCAGGCCAAUAAAUGCCCCCCUUCUCAUAUA